UGGGGAAUAUUGCACAAUGGGCGCAAGCCUGAUGCAGCCAUGCCGCGUGUAUGAAGAAGGCCUUCGGGUUGUAAAGUACUUUCAGUCGGGAGGAAGGUGGUAAGGUUAAUAACCUUAUCAAUUGACGUUACCGACAGAAGAAGCACCGGCUAACUCCGUGCCAGCAGCCGCGGUAAUACGGAGGGUGCAAGCGUUAAUCGGAAUUACUGGGCGUAAAGCGCACGCAGGCGGUUGAUUGAGUCAGAUGUGAAAUCCCCGGGCUUAACCCGGGAAUUGCAUCUGAUACUGGUCAGCUAGAGUCUUGUAGAGGGGGGUAGAAUUCCAUGUGUAGCAGUGAAAUGCGUAGAGAUGUGGAGGAAUACCGGUGGCGAAGGCGGCCCCCUGGACAAAGACUGACGCUCAGGUGCGAAAGCGUGGGGAGCAAACAGG
rnacentral:rRNA from 1 species